ACAGUGACAGCCACCGUUGCCUGGGGACGGGCCCUAGCGGCUUGGCGGAGCUGGAGCCCUCCCUGGCAGUGCGUCGGCGCUGGGCUAUGGCCCCCUCCUCUCCGGGGGAUCGUCGCCUUGGUCCCCCGACCCUAGGAGUCGGGCAGGGCAGAACCAGGCUAAAGAAACGUCCAGCGUAGCUUCAAGGAUGCACCGCGUGAUCCCUAUCGGAUCUCCCCGACGCGUCAGGCCUGCCUAGACGGUGCUGGGAGCGCGUCUCCUUGAACGUUGUCCCGCCUGGGAUUGCGAGGAAUUAUCCGAUGAAAAGUAGAAGAGGUUGAAUGACUUUCAGUGGCCUUUUCUUCACAGAUUAUUCAGUAAGAACAGUCUCAGGAAAACAGGACCUUCAACAGAGAUAAGAGAAUUAAAAUAUGCAGACUAACAACUCUGGGAAUGGGCUGACCAGCCUGAUAAGAAUAGGCUGAUGGCACCUACAGAAGGCCACAAAACACUGACCAAGAAAGCAAUGACCAACAAAGCAAUGACCUGAGACUGCACAUUUCACAAGAAUGUUUUGAUCAUCAUUUUUUCUAAUUUCCCUUAAAAACCCCUGAUAUGGAGACAGAACUCGGCGGUCUUUGAACACUAGUUCACUGCCUCCCCUGGGUUGUUGGAUUCCUGAAUAGAGCUAACCAUCCUUUCACCAAUGCUCAUCUCUUAAACUUUCAAGUGACAAGUGGUCUGGACCUGAAUUUCGUUACAAAACCUAUGUAUACCUUACCUUACAUGGCAAAGGGGACUUUAGAAGUGCAAUUAAAUUAAGGAUCUUGAGAGGGGGUUAUCCUGGAUUAUCUGGUUGGGCCCAAUGUAUUUGUAAGUGAUAGAGGGAGGCAGGUGAGUAAAAAAAGGAAACGUGAUGAUGAAAGCACAAGUCAAAAUGUGAUUGCUGGCUUUGAAAAUGGAUGGAAGCCACACCCCAGGGAUCGUGGACAGCCUUUAGAACCAGAAAAGGACAAGGAAACAGAUUCUCCAGUCCUCUAGAACCUCCAGAAGGAACAUGGCUCUGCUAAUACUAUGAUAUUAGCCCUUUCAGACUGAUUUCAGACUUCUGACCAGCAGAGGUAUAAAUCAUAAUUAUAUUGAUUUAAGCCACUAAAUUAGUGGUUAUUAGUAACGGCAGCAACAGGAAACUAUAUCAGCAACAAGACUCCUUCCUUCAUAGAACCCAAUUCCCAACCAAUUUUCAAACUUUCACAGAAAAUCUUGCCACACACUGAGACUAGGAACAUCCAACAAAAAAAUGCUAUCACUUUCAAAUGGAAAACCCAGGAUUGUAGAGAAGAUCAAAUUUUGUCAUGUAUCACAUUUAAACACUCAUCUCUACCUCACCAAACCGUGGUACUAAUGUGUACCAAUCUUAAAAGGAGGUAUUUCUGUUCCCUCAGAGCUCUGGGCAGAAGACUAUGCCUGUGGACAAUGUAGAAUUAUCUGCUGAAUGAAUAUCUGAAAACUGUUUGGAGAGGGGAAAAGCAUUGAGAAGAAUUGGGCUCUUUGCUACUAUUACUCGCUAGAAUGGGAGACGUUUGGAAGCAGUUCCCUUAAGGAACCAAACAAGGCAGGAAAUUCUGGGAUAAAUCUGGUGUUCACAUUACACAACAAAAUGAUUGUACUUCAAGAAGGAAAGAAACAGCAACUCACGUGGGGCAUGGUUUUUUAGAACUGAUCAAUUUUCUGGGUUCUUCUCCUGGAGGUGUGCAAAGUCCAGAGAAGCCAGUGCUGGACAAGGAAAAGAAGCCACAAGAUUAGACUUGGCUCACAGCCCACAAAAUAAACUACUUAGAACUACCUUUACUUCUCCUCUUUUGGGAAUUUGGAAAAAAUCUCAGUUCUUCCACAAACCCAAUGGAAGCCAGCUACUGCAGAAGGGGUUCAGGCAGACCUUUCCUUAAUGUCCAUGUUGAACAGGACCCUAGGUGCUGUUACUUUCCCAUGGCAUCUCCUCUUCCACAGUAGAACAGAGGCAUGCCCAGGGAGCCCCCCACCAUCCUCCUGGACCCAAACACUAAGUCAGGUACUUUGCUCCCAAUCUUAGGAAGGGGCUUCAGAGACCAAAAUGUGGCCUUCUUUCAGACGUCAUGAACAUCAGCUAGACUCACAGACAUUUUGACAGACAUAUCAGGGUCAACAGAUCCAAAACAGUCUCAUCCCACUCCCCUGAAUCUAGUUCUUUCUUGCCUGUUUACUCUUCCCUAUAAAAGAAAAUUCCUUUAUGCCUGACCUUUGCUAUGCUUGCAGAUCUUAUGGCUGGAGUAUUCUCCCAAUUACAACACCUCCUCCCUUACUGCAGUGUUCCUGUGAAUAAAGUCAUUCCUUACCAAAGUCUGGAUUUGUUUUUUUAUUUCACAGGUUGAAUAACUUUUGUAGAAUAACAAAACAAACUAUUUUAACUGUAACCUAAUUCUCCAAGCCAUGGCACACACAGAAGCACGGAGGGUCAAACAGGAGCAACAUCCACAUGACAGCCAAUGUGCGCACAGCACGCCCCCUCUUGCAAUAUGACUUCAAGAUUGAGCAAGUUCCCCAACUAGAGCCACCUACUUGCCAUAGUUGUGUAGCACUGAUCUUUUUUUUUUUUUUGGUAGCAUUGAUCUUGCAUACAUGUAUAAUCCAUGAACUUAACAUCAAUGUUACUUGUGUGAUACCAAGAAAACCCAGUAAGAGAGCAGGUAAAUAAUUUAAGUAAGAUUUUGUUGGGUAUAGUUGAGCUUUGAAGCACCAUAAGCCAUUGUACUAAGAUUUUGUCCUCCCCGCUAACCAAUUUUCACCUCCUUUGAGGCAAUAUCAUCGUCAUUAAGAAUACAUGGGUUGGCUGCACGCAGUGGCUCACGCCUGUAGUCCCAGGGAGGCCGAGGCAGGCAGAUCACUUGAGGUCAGGAGUUCAAGACCAGCCUGGCCAACAUGGCUACUAAAAAAUACAAAAAUUAGCCAGGCAUGGUGGCACAUGCCUGUAGUCCCAGCUACUUGGGAGGCUAAGGCAGAAGAAUCACUUGUACGCGGGAGGUGGAGGUUGCAGUGACCCAAGAUUGCGCCACUGCACUCCAGCCUGGGUGACAGAGCGAGACUCCAUCUCAAAAAAAAAAAAAAAAAAAAAAAAAAAAAUCCCAUGGGUUAAAAUAAUAUAUAUAAAAUGAUAUAAAGAUGUUAACCUCUGCAAGUUAAUAGGAUAUUUGACAUAUGAUAUACAAAUUAAAUAUGACCCCAAUAAAAGUACAAGUAUGAAAGCAGAUACAUUCAAUUUAAAUUCAACAAGCAAGAAAAUUAAAAAGCAAGAAUUGGAAAAAAAUGCCUGAUAAUAAAGAGAACAGAGAUUUCAAAAUACCACUCCUAUCAUUAAAAUGUUGGAUACUGUAAAAAGGAACAAAAUCAUAUCCUCUGCAGCAACACAGAUGUGGCUAGAGGCCAUUAUCCUAAAUGAAUUAACACAGAAACAAAACCAAAUACCACAUGUUGUCCUUUAUAACUGGAAGCUAAGCACUGGGUACACCUGAACAUAAAGAUGAGAACAUGGACACUGGCAACUACUAGAGCACGGAGAGAAGGAGGAGGGCAAAGGAGCAAACCUACCUACCUAUCAGGUAUCCUGCUCACUACCUGGGUGACUGGAUCAUACCCCAAACCUCGGCAUCACACAAUAUGCCAUAUAACAAACCUGAACAUGUACCCCCUGAAUCUAAAAUAAAAGUUGAAAUUUUAUUUUUAAAAAGUUGGAUACUGCAUAUGAAUAGAAAGAAAAGAUUAAUGUAACUGAAUAGAAUCUCUGAUCUCUGGGGAAAGGUGGAUUAUUCAGUAAAUGUUAUUGGAGAAAGGUAAAAUUGGAACCCCAUUUUAUAACACAUACCCAAAUUAACUCCAAAUAUAUAAGAUAUCUAAAUAUUAAAAAAUGAAAUUGGCAGGGAGUGGUGGCUCAUGCCUGUAAUCCCAGCACUUUGGGAGGCUGAGGCAGGUGGAUCACCUGAGGUCAGCAGUUCACCGUCAGCCUGGCCAAUGUGGUAAAACCCCAUCUCUACUAAAAAUACAAAAAUUAGCUGGGUGUGGUGGCGGGUGCUUGUGAUCCCAGCUACUUGGGAGGCUAAGGCAGGAGAAUCGUUUGAACCCAGUAGGCGGAGGUUGCAGUGAGCCGAGAUCAUGCCACUGCACUUCAGCCUGGGCGACAAGAGCCAAACUCCGUCUCAAAAAAAAAAAAAAAAAAAAAUCACAAAAAUGCUAGAAGGAAAAACAGACUGUUCCUUCUUAACUUCAGAGGGGAAAAUUCUGUAUCUCACAAUCAUAUGAAUAAAUGUUCCUACAUUUAAAAAUUGCCUAAAAGAAUACACAGACAAAUGACAAAAUGGGAGAAAAUAUGCGCAACUUAAAUAAAAAACAGAGUCCUAAAAUCCAAAGAGCUGUAUUUUAAAAAUCGAGGGAAAACAAGAGAAAGACAAAAAAAUCAUUAUUUUAAAUGGACAACAGACAAUUCAUAAAAAAAAAGUCAACGGUCAUUCAACAUGUAAAAUGCUCAUCAUUUAAAUAAAGAGAAAUUCAAAUUGAAACGAAAUUGAGAAGACUUCUGAAUCCAAUAUCAUUAAGAUCCUACUGGACUAAGUUCCUUGAAGAUACACCUAUCAGAUCUGGACAUAAUACAAAAAGCAACUAACUGAAGGUGCUGGCCAAUGAACUGAAGCAGUAUUCCUACAAAAAAAUGCAAAAAUUAGCCAGGCGUGGUGGCGGGCAUCUGUAAUCCCAGCUACUUGGGAGGCUGAGGCAAAGAAUUGCUUGAACCCGGGAGUUGGAGGUUACAGUGAGCCAAGAUCGCGCCACUGCACUCCAGCCUGGGCAACAGAGCAAGACUCCAUCUCAAAAAAAAAAAAAAAAAAAAAAAGCACACUUGAAUUGAAUCAUGAGGAAACAUCAAACACAUACAAACUGAGGAACAAUCUACAAAAUAACAGGCCUGUAGUUUUCAAAAAAGUCAGGAUCACAAAGGAUCAAAGAAAAGUCCAGGAAUUGUUUUCCAUUAAAAGAGACUAAAGAGAUGAUUUAAUUAAAUUAAAUGUUUGAUCCUAGAUAUGAUUUUGGAUUGGACGCCAG
rnacentral:lncRNA from 1 species